rnacentral:rRNA from 1 species
UACGUAGGGUGCGAGCGUUGUCCGGAAUUAUUGGGCGUAAAGAGCUCGUAGGCGGUCUGUCGCGUCUGCUGUGAAAACCCGAGGCUCAACCUCGGGCCUGCAGUGGGUACGGGCAGACUAGAGUGCGGUAGGGGAGAAUGGAAUUCCUGGUGUAGCGGUGGAAUGCGCAGAUAUCAGGAGGAACACCGAUGGCGAAGGCAGUUCUCUGGGCCGUAACUGACGCUGAGGAGCGAAAGCAUGGGUAGCGAACAGG